UACGUAGGUGGCAAGCGUUGUCCGGAUUUACUGGGCGUAAAGGGCGCGUAGGCGGCCAGCACAAGUCAGUUGUGAAAUCUCCGAGCUUAACUCGGAAAGGUCAACUGAUACUGUGCGGCUAGAGUGCAGAAGGGGCAACUGGAAUUCUUGGUGUAGCGGUGAAAUGCGUAGAUAUCAAGAGGAACACCUGCGGCGAAGGCGGGUUGCUGGGCUGACACUGACGCUGAGGCGCGAAAGCGUGGGGAGCGAACAGG
rnacentral:rRNA from 1 species